UUUUUUUUUUUUUUUUUUCUUUUUAGUGCCACACCGGCAGUGUAUGGAAAUUCCCAGGCUAGGGGUCAAAUUGGAGCUGCAGCUGCCGCCUACACCACAGCCACAGCAACGCAGGAUCCGAACCAUAUCUGCGACCUACACCACAGCUCACAGCAAUACCGGAUGCCCAACUCACUGAGCAAGGCCAGGGAUUGAACCCACAACCUCAUGGAUACUAGUUGGAUUUGUUUCUGCUGCGCCACAAUGGGAACUCCUGGUGUUUGUUUUUCAUGUUGGUGAAUUUCCUCAGUGUUUGGUGCGUUUGGGUUGUAUACUCAUCUUUGUCUUGAGAUUUCAGGUUUCCCUGUUUGGAAGACCUGUGCGUAUUUAGCACAGCCUGGACUUCUGACUACUGGGGACAAAUGAGACGUGCUGAUGAUAGGAUGUGUUGGUGGCUGCCCUUCUGGACAAGGGUGCUAGUUUUCCCAGAGCACAGAGUGCCUCAGUCCUGGUCUCCACCCCAAGCUCCACGCAGGGUGCCUGCGGGUCGGCAGCUGUCGUGGCUCAUGUUCUACUCCAGGUAGAGGUGAUGGCAAGUCCAAACUUCAGCUCACAAUGGCAACCUCAGCGCCACUGCAAAGAUGAUUUAAUUAAAGGACCAUUUGCAGAGGGAGUCCCAGUGACAUGGUCCACUCCACAGGGUGGGUCUGCUUCCAGAGAUGGGGAGUCGAGGGGGAGACAAGCAGACCAUGUCCAGCACAGCCCUCCUUCAAGCGCUCCGAGGAUGUCGUCACCUCCAGUAGUUCAAUGGCAGCCCGAGGAG